CAAUCAAUUCAAUUUGGUUUAGGUGGAAUCAUUGCAGUAACCAGUUCAUUUGUUAUGCUUCAAUCAGCUAGUAUUGUUUUACUGAAGGUGUUCUAUAACCUGCAAGUCUGCAACUAAAAAUUUGACUUGGACAUGAAAUCCUCUGAAGGUCUUCUUAAUGUCCCAACUUCCAACAUGUAAUGAUUCAAUGAGAACACUUGAGAUGUGGUUCAAGAGUUAGAAAUCCCACUUUUUUAACUAUAUUGUUUCACAGACAAUAAUUCAUAACCAAGUUUGUAGUUUAAAAUUUUC
rnacentral:lncRNA from 1 species